CCAGCCCGGCCUGCGACGGCGGCGAGCGCGGCGCCUCCACCAAGUUUCCGGGCGGGGAAGAAAGUCGAAACCUACGUGAGAGGAGGAGGAGGACAGCGCAGCCGCCCAGGUCCAGGUUCCAGUGUUCACAUUGAGGCAGCUCCCUGUAACUCUCAUGCUUCAAACCAGUGGGGUUUAAAAGUUCUCCAGCUAUGUUAGCACUACAUCCAUGCCUUGGAAAUGCCCUUUCUGCAGAUGAGAACAUCCUGAGACCAUUUUUGGAAAUCCACUGGAACUGAGGCACACCAGCAAUCCAUCUUUGCUCCGCAAGAUCCAUGUUACCACAGGACCUGAAGUGUCAGUACUGGACUUGAUCUUCGGUGAUGCUCAGCCCAAAUGUCUGGACUCCCCUCCCUUAUUGACUUCUUGAAGAAAAGAGGGACAUGGUGAUAAUUUCCAUGACAACACAGAAAGAUUCCAAAACCAGAGAUUUCUGACUAAAUAUAUGAAGGUUGUUGAAAAGCACAACCGCAAGAAUUCUGCCUACUCACUGAGAAUAACAGACAGAAGAGUUAAGCCUCUGUGUGUGUGACAAUGCUUGUACCACGUGUAAAGUCCCGGGAUUCCCAUCUCCUGGUUAUCCCAGAUAUGCACAGGGAUGGGAACUGGGCAUCCUCUCUACUUGGGUGCUUCAGGAACUGAUCCAAAGAGAAACCUCUGGCUGGACAACUGUUAAAGAGAAUGUGACUCGGGGAAAAAGGAAACCUUCAAAAGAAUGAGAAGUGUGAGAAACUGCCUACAAAAUGCUGCUCCAAGGAUGUAUUUUGCCCAAAUAAUCACUUUCAGAAACAGUCAACAUGCUUUUAAAGAAAAAUAAUCUGGAAAAAUAGUGAUUUAAAAUAAAAGCUCCCUUUGAAGAGACCCUGUAAGGCUGAAGCUUGCAUUUGAACAAAUCUCUCCCCAAGUUUCUAAGAACACUUUCUAAACUGCCAUUUAAAAACUUUCAGUUACUACUUUUCACUAUUUAUGCUCUUCAUUGACUUUUUGCCUUUAUUUUCCACUCUUGUGACCAAACAAAUCUGGUACCUUUUGCUUGCUCAGUACAGCUCACGUCACUCUCCUCGUGUCCUGCUGCAGUUCAU